rnacentral:rRNA from 1 species
UACGAAGGGGGCUAGCGUUGCUCGGAAUCACUGGGCGUAAAGGGCGCGUAGGCGGCCAUUCAAGUCAGAGGUGAAAGCCCAAGGCUCAACCUUGGAACUGCCUUUGAUACUGUUUGGCUUGAGACCGGUAGAGGUAAGUGGAACUGCGAGUGUAGAGGUGAAAUUCGUAGAUAUUCGCAAGAACACCAGUGGCGAAGGCGGCUUACUGGACCGGUUCUGACGCUGAGGCGCGAAAGCGUGGGGAGCGAACAGG